AACUAGUGGUUAACUUUUGUAAAGUCCAGUAAUCACCAAGCAUCUAUGAAAUAAAAUUAUUCAUCCCAUUUUUUGGCCAGAACAAUUGAGUCACACGCAUGGUGUGCCUUGUCCAAAUUUUCUACUUUAGUACAGGGAGGGGCAGGAGUGGGUGGCUGGGGGGACCCUUUACCCUUUAAAUUUUUAGUUGACUAAUUUAGUGUCAAGUCUCAUUUUACAAAAGGAUCCUGAGGCUUAUAUUGGUGGUGUAAAUUGCCAACAAGGUCAAUGAACUAGAGAAAAUAAUGUCACGAUUCAGAGUAAGAGAAAGAAAAAUGGAUGGAUUGAUGUCUUAACCUUCAGAAUGUUCAAAUAAUUGGGGGUUGGAUGACAUGGCAUAUGGUUAAGUCUUCUUGCAGCUGAUGUCACCCAGACUUUCCCCUUUUUUUGCCACCCAAACUGCAUGUAAACAAACAGUCCAACAACAAGUGUCCUCAAGCAGGGCGCUCCAUGCUUGGAGCAAUCUAGUUUGCCGCCACCAGACACGGCUCUGCUUGGACACCACAGCGCCUAACUCCAGACUUGCCCCUAAAGUCGUUCAAUGAUCACCCUCUUUUCCUUCCUUCUCUUCCUUUAGCUGCACGAGAGAGAGAGAGAGAGAGAGAGAGAGAGAGAGAGAGAGAGAGAACCUCAUGCCUCCCUAGUAUGCUUCAACUGCUUCUCCCCAUGCCUCAAUUCCCCUUCCCUGCCGCCUUCUGUCAUUUUCAGGUAGUGGAAUUUGCUGACCCUGGCCGCUUGGCGGCCUAAGCCUGGACGUGGCAAAAGUCAGAUAGUCACAGUGCACUAUUGAGUUCAUCUGUGUCACAAAAGGGCUUUUGCUUUAGAUCUCUAGUUUGGUUCAGUAAUUUCCAUGGACUUCCUUCCUUCACUGAAAAGAGAGGCCAAAUCAUAUGCUUCUUCCUCAUUUUACCUCAAGGAACAGGUUACACAAGUUAAACAAUCACACCAGCAUUAAUUUUCUAAAAAAAAAAAAAAAAAAGGAGUAAAUUUUCACUUUCUGAGGUGGCAAGGAAAAUUCCUCAAACAAAGAGACCACUCUUUUACUGUAAACAAAUGUACUUACAAUUUUUUUACUCCCUAAUUCUUUGGGAAAUAAUUUUUUAAGUCCUUCCUAAGUGUUUUAGACUAAGCCACCUUUUUCUCUGUUAGCUUCUUUUUACUCAUCAAGAUUAUCUGUUGGCAGACAGCUGCAUGAUCUAUGACCCACACCCUAAAAAAAGGGAGCAGUUUGAAAGUGACUAUAAAUUUUAUUCAUUCUCUGGCCAAAGUUAUCUUAUGAAGUAUUGAUAACACAUUAUCUUACAGAGCAGAAUAAUACUGCACAAAAUGAUACUAAGAGGUUUAAGACUCCUGCCUUACUGAAAGUUAUUAUUCAGAAGUUUACAUAGUCUGCAAACACUUAUCAGAAGCCCUGGGCAGAAAGAACAGAACCUCCGUUUCAUUAAGAUACAGUGGAAUGUUAGAGGUUUAGGACAGAUAAAGGCCAAUUCUCAAAAGUUCAAAAUCUUCCUUGAUGAUAAACAACGACAUAAAUUAAAAUGAAUGUCUCUUGGAGGUGAAGACCUGAAUAUGGGUAUUCAUACAUGACUAUAAAGUUUUACCAAGACCUGCCUUUCUCAAUUUAUUAUGGUGGAAAAUCACAGAAUCACUGUACAAAUCACUUUUGUAUUGAGCCCAAAGAGGUCACACUGUUGCAUAUAUGCUCUUUUAGUGAAGAAAUUCCUGAUACAAGCAAUAUCAAAAUAUUCAGUUAAAUUAUUUAAAAAAUUUAGUUUCAUAUCAUCAGAACUACCCAGAAUCUAUAUAAGUUCAUGAAUAUGCUUUACAUAAUGUAACUCACUAACAUAGGAAAAGAAAGCUAUGUACUGUUAGGCUCACUCAAUUUUCAAGCCAAGGAACAUAUUUAUUGUUAAGACUUAUAAGAAUAAGAAAUCACUCUUCCCUUAUUCUUCAAAUAUUUUUUGCAAAAUAAAUUAAUCAAUACCUACAGGAACACCUAAUUUACUAUUUUUGAAAGAGGUAAAAUAAAGAUUUAAGUGAUGAGUUUAUUCAAAAUUUCAAAUUGCCUGACAAGUUAAGAUAUAGUAAACAUAUAUUUUAUGAAGACAUCUUGAUUUUUUUUGGUGAAUAAUUUACCUUUCCUUACAAAGCAUGUAUAUUUUAAUAGAAAGACACUUUAGGUAUAUUUUUCUCAAUACUAUUUUUGAACUUACAACACUGAUAUCAGUUUAAGUUUUUUUAAAAAAUCUGCACUCGCCUUUUUUCUGCACAUACAUUGCGUGGCACAGAAAGCAUUUUGGAGUAUUGUAACAUAGUUGCACUUAGAAAUAAUGGCAAAAUUCUCAUGUGCUGUCCCAUUUUUACUGGACUUUUCAAAGAGUAAAAUUUCAUUAUUUUUCAAUGAUAUUUAAUUUUCACAUGACACUUUCUGAAAUGUUAAUGCAGUCCCUUAUCAAUGUAGAUAUUUUUCAAGGCCUGUGUUUUUAUUCAAACUUAGAUCCUUGGGGAAAAGUAGGCUAAUGACAAUAGGGAAAUAAAUAUUACAGUUUCAAAAAAUAGAUCAUUGAAAUAAGAGUUAAAAAAGUAUUUUAAAGAAUAUAAUUUAAAAAUAAAUCUUAAGAGAAAGAAUUAUCUUAAAGGGAAGAUAUAUGGCAUUUCAAAAUGUUUAGAAAUGUUUUUAGCUAAAGAAUCCACAAAGUUUUUUAGCUAAAGGGCCAUAUGCCCUAUUUUAAUAAAAAGGAAUCCAUAAAAAAUAAAUUACUUUCACUAAGUAUAUGCAAAUUCCAAUGUAAGCAAUCAGUGCAAAAUUAAUUUUGCCAGAACUGAUUAAAAGCAUUAAUAAAUCUAUAUGCAGUAUUGCUUCAAUCUGAUACUGUAAAUUUAUUAUACUUCCUGUAAGAUUAAUUAUAAUGCUACAAUAACAUAUUACGAUGCCAGAACAUAUUACUGUACAUUCUGUUAAUAACAGUUAAGCGUAACCUGAGUUGUAAUUAUGGACUGUAACAAAGUAAUUUGAUAGUGAUUGUUUUCUUUAACUGUUAAUGUUAGAUGGGAAAUAAAAUGUGUAUGUGCUUGUGUUCAUUAUAUUUUUCUCUUUAAUACAAUACCUAAUUAAAAUCAUGAAACACCACAGUAUUUGUUCUCACAGAUUCCUUUCACUUUUCGCUCCCCACCAAAACUGUCAGGCUGCCUGAGAUAAGGGAAGGUUAAAAACAAAGUUAUUCAAGGUUGUUGUGCAUUCUUGUCCUGAACGAAAGCAAGCUUUCUUGAAAAUGUAUUUAAAAAAAAAAAAACAGUUUGUACUGUUCAGGACUCAUCAUUUGAGGUCUUCAGAUGACAUAGCAAUUUUUCCAUGUUAUUCACACAUCCCACAAAUAAGUAACAAAAUGCUUGAGAGAUCAUGGUGACAGCAGCCAUUCCAGGUAGCAAAACAAAGACGCUGAAAAUCCUUUAUGAAGAGCAAAAGAGGCCAAACAGAAACUUUUCUUUUUGGUAGCUUCAUCCAAACUUUCUAUUGUCUUUGCACUCUAACAUUCUGACUGCAUCUACCACAAUACUAAGCUCAUCUGAUCUGAUAGUCGUAGAAACAUAAGACUUUGAUGACAUCUAUAACUUAUGGUCCUUUCCAUUUUGUUGUCCUUUUUCGAAAGCUGAAGCAGCUACGUAUGCACAUAACUUUAAGAACACAAAAUCUGAGGCCCUUUAGAAUACUAUACACAAACUUCGAGUGGCAAACAGGUUUCUGGAGAAGUACCAAAAGAAAUUAUUCAAGUUAAGCUUUUUUUGGAUAUAUUCCUGAUUAAGCCUGAACACAAUGAAAAAAACAGUGUGAAGCACAAUUCUGAAUGGCAUCUGUGCUUGGAGCUUCAGAGGACUGCUGACUGUCAUAAAACUCUGUGUGUCACCAGCUGGGGGUCGGGGAUUUAAAGAUGUCAGGGGGACCUGGCCUCUCAGAUGGGAUAAAGAUCAGAAGGAAAGCUGUCCAGGUGAUGCCCAGGCCCCUGAACAGGCCUAUCUGCACUUUCAUUCAAAUGAUAAUGAGUGUGUAAAUCACAUCUGUUCCCCCUCUGUGCCUGUAUCCUUGUCACCUGAAUAGCAUCCCCACCAGGUAUCAAAUGAGCUACAGGAAAUAGGUUUUCUUUUUAUCCAACUUCACUCUGAAAUGAGAAAAUGAGCACCCUGACAAGGAAGCCCACAAACCAACAGGGAUUCCAAGCCCAGAUUUCAUCAUAAUAAAGAAUGUUUAAUUGUUAGAUGAAGGUUCAGUCGGUGAGGGGGAACACCAAGGUUUUGAUACAAAGGUAGCUCUCUGGCUCCUCACUGCCCAAUUCUUGAAUAGCCUCAGAAAAGUAGCCUGAUAAUUAGUAGUCACUGACUUUUAAUGAUCUGAUCUCAUUCUAAUGGCACAACCCCAAAAUCUCAGGCAAGACCAGCAAUUCUCACCUCUCUGUGUUCUUUUAAGUAUGGAAACAAGGGCUGAUGAGAUGGAAGCACUCCUGGAAGCCUGACAAGCUCCACACAGUCCUACAGCGUUCCACCAUGUAAAAUCAGGCCUUCAUUUUGAACUUGGAAAUCUCCCCACUCGCAGGCAGUGGCAAUGCCAGCAAGCCACAGGUGGGCACCACAUGAGCAGGCAGUUUAAGAGAGUUUUAGGCAAAUGAACGUCCGUGCCUUGGAAAUCCCUGAGAAGACGUGAAGCAGCCUCAGAAAGAGAAACUGGCUGAGCUUUCAGCCUGCGCACGCUGGGGCAAGGAAGCUGCACUACACUGAGCUGGCAUAACUGCCCUUGGCCUGGCCGGCAGCAUCUCGUCCUGCAAACUGAGAGAAACCUGAGAAUGAACUUCUACACUGCACCUCAGAAGGGAGCAGGCGGGAGAGGAAGCCGGGUUGGGAAGUCAGAGUAGAAUCUGAACACAGAAGACAGGGGGAGCUAUUCAGGAAAAUGUGCUUUGUUAUUUCCUUCUGGCACCUUGCUCAUUACCAUUCUAAUUUUUAAAAUGCAAACUGAAACCCAUACUAACUUUAACAUCCUAAAUGACAAACUAAAAGCAACACAGCUCCCCCUUCCACUCCAGUAACACCCCUCAUCCCUAAAAAACAACAAUGCUAACAAAACCCAUGAACACCUAUAACAAGUACAGCUUUAAAAUCCAAAUCCUUGCUUUUCUUGGCUUUUAGGUUGAAAGGUAGUGGAAAGUGGCUGAGUAAGACCCCGUCAGAUUCAGUGCAAGGUGAAGACUGGUCUUGAAACUUUGUAUCUUCCCUUCUUGAUUAGAAUGAAGGUAGAUGCCUUGACUCAGAAUUGGUGGCUGUUUUAAAAGCUGGCCUUGCUUUGGACCAUUGUUGGGACUGUCUUCUUCAGCAAACAGUGAUCAUGAAACCAAAUUCAGCUUUCUUCAGGAAAAGGACAAAAACUGGGGUAUACCACUGGAUCUACUAUGGAAAAGUGUUUGAGUGAUGCCCACCUAAUAUAGAAGAACUUGUCAUAGCUCUGAUGCAGCGACAAUUGACCACUUGCUUUUACAUAAACACUAGGAAGAAAGGCAUGGCAUCAAGUGUUUUGAGAGCUGAAUUACAUCAAUAUUUCCUUUUCAGAAAAUCUAAAAUUAUUUCAAUGCACAAAAGGUACAUACUGAAUGUAAUUAUAACUCUUCAAAAAAAUCAAUCUCUUUCUCUUUUUAAACUUACAUAAAAAUAAAUUAUCUGACUAUUUUACCUUUGGAUUAUUCUCUCUAAUCAACACUCUGAUUUAGAAUAAUGCAAGAAAGUAACGCCUUAGUGUCUUAGUACCAUUUAUUAAUUCCAGGUAUACCACUGGAAUUAGUACAACAAACAAAUACGAAUUCUACUUUCCAAUCUUUAAAAUAAGAAUCAUGCAAAGAAGUGUGUGGCUUACAACUGCAUGUUACUUAUAGCAGCUCUGAGUAUGGUGCUUUUUUUGUUUUGUUUUGU
rnacentral:lncRNA from 1 species